rfam:Desulfuromonas acetoxidans DSM 684 ctg60, whole genome shotgun sequence.
UUUCCCUUUUAAACCAAUCCAGAGAGGUUGGUAAAGGCGAUACGAAUGAACCAGGCUUUUCAAAAAUAUCACUAUUUCUGUACCCGCAACCUUUUUGCCUUCUUGGUAGGAAGGUAUUUUUUU